GGGAAAACACGUUUGUUUUUCUUACAAUCAGAAUGAAUUCUAGCAGACAGAUUCUCCUCUUACUUUGUCUCAGGCAGAGAAAUCAGUCACAAUAGGUGGAAAUUAGAUCUUUGUCUUUGCUUUUCGUAAAGAAAUGUGAUUGCCUGCCUUCCUCAAUUUGCCUUUAAUCCUGGAGUUCUACAAGCCAAGGAUAGACUUUGCUCAUCUUCAUCCAGGUCCAAAUGAUACCACGAGAUUUGUCUUGUGUCCAUCUCACUGCUCUACAAUCUUCUGUGAUGGUGAAAUUCUCAGAUUCCUCUUGUGCCCUGAUGACAUCACAGAACACGGUAUCACAAACUGCGCCCUUCAAAUUACAAGUCUAUUUUGACCAAGACGUCUCUCCCUCCGUCCUGCCGUUUUCUUGUUCACUGUCCACGACUUGGUGUUUUCAGCUCGAGGUUGCACAUGCCACUCGAGAUUCGGGGAAGGUCCUUAGUGAUUAAAACCUUGUACAAUCAUCAGGGACAUAAGUAGAAGUAACUCGGUCCUCAGCAUCCAGUGGGAGGGGCAGAUAAAGCAUCUUGUCCCGUGAGUGUGUCUGAGAAAUGUUUACAGACAGAAAUUGGGGAUAGGAGAUCAUCCCCAAGAGAAGUGCGAGAAAAUUCAGUUGCCAGGAAGUAACGAAAGGAACUUUUUAAGUGUCUGGGAAGCACAGUAACUUUAACUCUAGACACUGUGGCUCUGCUUUCUAUUACUCUAAUCCCCUUAAGGCCUCACCUAUGUCUAAUACAUCUUUGGUAACUCCAAACCUAACUUAACCUAAUAACUUGGCAUAACGUAUAUUCAAUAAAUAUUUUCUGAGUUAAUAACA
rnacentral:lncRNA from 1 species